AGGUCACCUGACAAUAACAGGAUUGAGGUUACAGUAUGCCAUUCAAGCUGUGAUGAAAUAUAAAGUAAUGGUUUGAAUUUGGAGAGCUUCAUUACAUGUAUUAUAGACAGGUAAAUUGUUUUAUCCUGCAAUUAUCUACAUGAUCUAACUAUUGUACAUGUAAAUGGGACGAAAACUCACCUGAAGGGUCCACAAGUUAAACAGAAAUUAAAAACUAUAUAUAUGUCAUCAUUUAGGCCUUAUGGCCUUCAACAAUGAGAAAAACACAUUCUGCCACAAUGUCUUCUAUGUACAUUUUACAUAGUGCGCCUUAUUAAAAUGUGUUUGGAAAAUUUAUUUUUUGUUCAAAUGUUGAAUGAAGACAUUACUACUGGUAAAAAAGGACGAGAAUUAUUUUGUUAGCAUUUUAACAGUACUUUUUGAAGAAGUAUGUUUGCACUAACUUUUGAUUACUUUUCUCAUAUUGAAAAUUUCAUUUGAUAUAUACAUUGUACUUGUAUUAUAUUUGCAUUUUCAUAUUUCAGGGAUGAAGACCUGCAGUCAGACACCAGUUAAAAGUUACUUAUAACUCAUCAUGGCCAUUAUGGAAGAUCUGAUUAAAAUUUGUCUAGAAAGCCACCAAAUAUGUCCAUGAAAAAUAGAAAAAUGACAGCAAUUCUACAUAAUGCACCGUACUAAGUAGAAGCAUUGACUGUUUCAAAACCAAAUGAAUUGGAAUUUAGUGUAUUGAUGCUGAAAUAGAGAGGAAUAUUAUUAAUUGGACAAUUUAACUUCUUUUUCAUCAUUAUUGAAGUUGAUGUAUACCAUCUUAAAGAGUUUUUACUUGACACAUGUGACAGUUAAAAGGAAUACCAAAUAUACAUAAUAAAGGCCGUUUGGAGAUUUGUGAAUAGUCUUAAAAUAGGAGUUUCAAAAAGGAUUUCAGUUAAAAUAUUGUAUUUCACGGAUGUCAGAAAUGUAAUUUUAUGUCUCUUUCAUGAAAUGUUUUAAAAAAUCUGCAAUAUCUAACCAAGACGAGUGAGAGAUCUACAGAUAGACAUAUGAUAUUCAGUUGAACUGUAAACAUGGUAAAGGGGA
rnacentral:lncRNA from 1 species